GAUGAACGCUGGCGGCGUGCCUAAUACAUGCAAGUCGAGCGAAUGGAUUAAGAGCUUGCUCUUAUGAAGUCAGCGGCGGACGGGUGAGUAACACGUGGGUAACCUGCCCAUAAGACUGGGAUAACUCCGGGAAACCGGGGCUAAUACCGGAUAACAUUUUGAACCGCAUGGUUCGAAAUUGAAGGGCGGCUUCGGCUGUCACUUAUGGAUGGACCCGCGUCGCAUUAGCUAGUUGGUGAGGUAACGGCUCACCAAGGCAACGAUGCGUAGCCGACCUGAGAGGGUGAUCGGCCACACUGGGACUGAGACACGGCCCAGACUCCUACGGGAGGCAGCAGUAGGGAAUCUUCCGCAAUGGACGAAAGUCUGACGGAGCAACGCCGCGUGAGUGAUGAAGGCUUUCGGGUCGUAAAACUCUGUUGUUAGGGAAGAACAAGUGCUAGUUGAAUAAGCUGGCACCUUGACGGUACCUAACCAGAAAGCCACGGCUAACUACGUGCCAGCAGCCGCGGUAA
rnacentral:rRNA from 1 species